rnacentral:sRNA from 1 species
UAGCUGUGAAGAACAGCGCCGAUAGCC